rnacentral:rRNA from 1 species
AACGAACGCUGGCGGCGUGCUUAACACAUGCAAGUCGAACGGCAAGGCCCUGCUUUUGUGGGGUGCUCGAGUGGCGAACGGGUGAGUAACACGUGAGUAACCUGCCCUUGACUUUGGGAUAACUUCAGGAAACUGGGGCUAAUACCGGAUAGGAUCUCCUGCAGCAUGGUAGGGGUUGGAAAGUCUCGGCGGGUGCGGAUGGACUCGCGGCUGAUCAGCUUGUUGGUGGGGUAGUGGCUUACCAAGGCUUUGACGGGUAGCCGGCCUGGGAGGGUGACCGGCGACAUUGGGACUGAGAUACGGCCCAGACUCCAACGGGAGGCAGCAGUGGGGAAUAUUGCCCAAUGGGAGGAAGCCUGAUGCAGCAACGCCGCGUGCGGGAUGACGGCCUUCGGGUUGUAAACCGCUUUCGCCUGUGACGAAGCGUGAGUGACGGUAAUGGGUAAAGAAGCACCGGCUAACUACGUG